GACGAACGCUGGCGGCGUGCCUAAUACAUGCAAGUAGAACGCACAGUUUAUACCGUAGCUUGCUACACCAUAGACUGUGAGUUGCGAACGGGUGAGUAACGCGUAGGUAACCUGCCUGGUAGCGGGGGAUAACUAUUGGAAACGAUAGCUGAUACCGCAUAAUAUUGAUUAUUGCAUGAUAAUUGAUUGAAAGAUGCUAUUGCAUCACUACCAGAUGGACCUGCGUUGUAUUAGCUAGUAGGUGAGGUAACGGCCCACCUAGGCGACGAUACAUAGCCGACCUGAGAGGGUGAUCGGCCACACUGGGACUGAGACACGGCCCAGACUCCUACGGGAGGCAGCAGUAGGGAAUCUUCGGCAAUGGACGAAAGUCUGACCGAGCAACGCCGCGUGAGUGAAGAAGGUUUUCGGAUCGUAAAGCUCUGUUGUAAGAGAAGAACGGGUGUGAGAGUGGAAAGUUCACACUGUGACGGUAUCUUACCAGAAAGGGACGGCUAACUACGUG
rnacentral:rRNA from 1 species